CUUUGGUGGCGGGGGGGGGGAGGCUGAGAAGCCCCGGGGGGGGGAUGCGACCCCCGGUUUUUGGGGCCGGGACCCCCCCCCUUGAGGCACGGGCACCGCCAGCGGCCCCCCCCGCGGUACGGACAGACGGACGGACGGACGGACAGACGGGAGGAGGGCCGGAGGGAGGGAGGGGGGCGGCUCCCGGCCCGGGGGGGAGGAACUACAAGUCCCGUGAAGCCGCGCCGCCCGCUGCCGGGCUUUAUAAGGGGGGGGCAAUGGCCCGGCCGCCGCAGUCGGAGCAUCCCCGGGUCCCAGCCGCGGAGUCUCCCCCGCGGGGGGGAGGAGGUGGAAGCGGGCCCCCUCCCCCGGGGGCUGUGGGUACGGAGGAGGAGGAUGAAGAUGAGGAUGAGGAUGGCGAUGCCGGAGCUCCGGGAGCGGUUUGGGCGCAGAGCAGGAGCCGCGGGGGGGUUGCGGCUGGGAGGCUCGGCCCGCAGGAGGUCCUGGAAUCGUGAGAACUUCCAAUGACUUGGCAAAUCGCUCUGAAUCACUGACGUUUGGCGGCCACCUCCACCCAUGCCUGUCCCUUGCCUGCUCCCUCGCCGGGUGUCAGUUCUCGAGCCUACGUGCUGAGAAGAGAAGUUAAAAAGGUAAAAGUCUGUAAUCUGAUUCCACGGUGACCUGUCUAAUCCUGUUCCCUGGUACAGUGAGAGCUGAAAUACUUGUACUGCAAAACAAUGGCUUGAGGAGGCUACAGAAGGGAGAUGAGAAUCUGCAGGGAAUUUUUUUCUCUAUUUUCUGUCUCUUUGACAGAAAUGUGUCAGCUUGAAAGCAGUGUGGUUGAAAUUGUCGUGAGGUUGGGUAGUAAUGCAUCGGGUCCCUCUUUGUAGGAGAACGGGGGUACGGCUUCAGGCAGCCCCGACUAAAUCUGUGCACGGGAGCAGCUGUGCAGCCUUGUCCUGGAGGUGGAGGGUUCAAAUGUGAUGAAGAGGAAAAAAAAAAAAAGCUGCUGGUUGCCUUGUGUUCCUACCUGCAGAGCUCCCAGCGGGUGGGAUGCUGAAAUGUUUGAAGGCUGGGCUGAAAGCUGAGGCUUUCCACGUGUGGCUGGGCUGUGUUGGAGGCCCUAUGGGGCAGAGCUUUUUGGGGUUCUCUGGGGAAGAAGUUCCUACCUUGACUCUGGCCGUGUCUGGAUCGCAGAGCUGGUGUGCAGGCGUUUCCCUCUUGUGGACCUUGGGCUGGGUCAGGGAGCUGAGCACAGUCUUUGCUUUCCUCUCCUUCCCCGUGCAGCGCCCAUAUAACCACGCAAAGCCUUCCUCGUCCGUCAGAAGCUCCAGGGCACUUAAGGACAUGAGUGACCCUGGGUCUGAAGCCCCAGUGCGGUUGUCCUCUCCUAUCCUAGCUGAAUACUUCUGCCUCAAGGACUUUUGUGGGGCAUGGGCAAUUUUUUUCCUCUAGCUUGUUGAGAAAAAAAAGCUUUUCUGCACCGAGCCUUGACGCAGGUUCCACUGAAACUACCUGCCUGCAAAAGGGUAUUUUGGAAAAGCAGCUUUUUCGGCAGAGAAGCUUGUUUCAAUGGGCUCUGCUCUGCUGAGAAUACACCAAAGAGCUGUGUGAGGUCUGGAUUACAGAUGUUGUGUUUUGAGCUUGCUGUUGUAUCACAGAGGUGUUCUCAUAAGCCGCUUUGUCCUUUCCUAGAGCUCUUCCUCCUGUUGGGGCUUUGUGUUUUCGUUUGCCACAAACUUUAGCUUUGCUGCUGCACUGAACUGAACCACGCUUUCAGAACAAUUUCCAGCUGGGAACCUGAGCGCUCAGUUCCUCAGACUUGGUUUUUCUUAGGUCUUUGGCUCGGUCGCAAUAUUUCCUUCCUUGUUUUUUUAGGCAUAAUACCCUUCAAUCCAUCCGGUAUUGCUGACACUGAUGCAAGUGCCGUGGUGUUACAGAGCGGGGAAGGCUGGGAGUGGUACGAAAUUAGCCCAGGUUCACCGACAGCAGUGCUGCCGGCGUGUGUCGGUGCAGCCCCGAGGGCUGCUCUGCGGAAGAGGCUGCAGCGUGAAGUUUUGGGGGGGUGCUUUGGGGUUAAAAGCUCGGGCUGGAGCGGGGCUGCCUGCUGCAGAGCUGCAUCCAGGAGAAAACUUUUCUCAUGGAAUUCAUGCAGCCAGGGCUCUGUAAUGGAAAAUGCGCCACACCUUAAAUGCUAUCAUAUUACUCAUGAGCGCAAUGCUGGUGUAAUUAACUGAGUUAAAAACCAGAUUUAUUGCGUGUCAAUUAUCACCUAACAAGUUGGCAUAUCUGAGAGAUGCAUCAGAGGCCGGAUGUGCUGGUUUCCCACCCGAGGUAAGGGAGGUCACCUGCCUCGCCACCAGGGCAGAUUUAAUGGAUCUUGCCGUGUUUAAAUACAAUCUUACUCACGCUCAGGUACAAGAAUGUGUUUAACACCAAUGGGCCGCACGGUUGCAAAGUGAAGUCCUCCAGUGUAACGAGAUGCAAAACACCUAGUGGUUUCAUCACCGAUUUUGUGUCUGCGUGGAACCUCCUCGCGUCUCCUGAUUGCUUCUGACAUCAGAAAUGUUCUCAGGCUUCACCCCUCCACCCCAAUCCAGAAUGACACUGGGUAAAGGCUGUGCUGAAUUCGAGCUGCUCUUGCUAACCUGCAGCAAAGGCUGUGGGAACUGAUGGGAUCUGCUGAUUCAGCUCCUUAAAAAGAAAAUCUAAAGGCACUGUAUGCAUGCAAUGCAGCCAGGUGACUCAAUUACAACACCUGGGCUUAGAUUUGCAAACCAUCUAUAGCCUUGAGUUUCAGUUCAAACAUUACCCUUAAUUUUGGUCUCUGCCCUUAAAUCCCCUAUUCUAGCUGAUGUAUUAUUUCCUUCUUAUUGUGGAGGCUGUUGCAGAGCUGAGGUGCCUGCAUGCUGCUGAAACGCCACAUCUUGUGUAUGUCCAAAUGUUGACAGAAUUCCAGAAAGUCUGAACUUGGUGUGUCUGCAAAUUGCAUUAUUUAAAAAGUAAUGAAAAUUAAAUACUUGGAAUCUUGGAGAGCGUGUAACUUUAUGGCUUUCUUGGUACGUACUAGGAAAAUUCGGAAGUUCAGGCUUUCUAGCUUCUAGCAUGCAGAAAAAUACCAGGGAGCGUGUGCUUGGUUUUACACUCGGUUACACACUUGAGAUGUGCGUGUACUUUGAGUCUCCUCCCUACCUUUUGCCAACUGAUUUUUGGCUGCAGCCUCACCUUUCUGCUUGUCUGCAGGGUAACCUGCUGCUUGCACAGGCCUGGCGAGGAGAUGCCCCAAUGGGGCUGGAGCAGGUCAGUGCUGGAGCCAGCCCAGCCUCGGCUCUGGUCUCUCAAGCUGCUUUUCUAUUUCCUAACAUCACGCUGAGCUUCCCUGCUGCCAGUCCCAGACUGAAGUGCCAGCCGGGAGGGGAAGUUCCUUUGCUUGCAAAGAAGUGAUUUUUUUUGGUGUAACUCUAAAAGCAAAAUCAUACUUUGGUAAUGCUUUUUUUUUUUCUGCUUGAAAACACCUGAAAGCUGCUGAAGGUGCUGAAUCGCAUAGAUGCUCGCUUACAUUGUGUCAUCUCUGAAGAGCUCUGACCUCUUUGCACUGUACUGUACAAGCAUGUAGAGCUGUCCUUUGGAAAGCUUAGACCAGGAGUAACCUGUGUUCUCAGGGCAGAAACCAGUGCUUUUUGCAGAAAGAGGUGAAGACCUGGCACAGCUGCAGUGUGGGUGUUAACAGGUGCCAGCUGGAAGCCCAAAGCUUUCUCACCUCCUGGCUGCCUUUGCAGUAGGCUGUGGAGGGGAAAUUGCUGUCCCUGUGAGAGGCUUCGGAGGGGACCCUGUGCCUCAUGCACCAAUUUUCCUGAUUUUUAUAGCCUAAUUAGAUUUUUGUAGCCCAAUUAAAUUCUGAUUCUUGGGCCAUCAGACUCUGCUGAUCGGUGUGAACUGCUGUUUCCCUUUGGCACCUUCCAUCCCAGGUACCUCCUUUUCUGCUCCCCAGGUGCUUGAGCUGCUGUGUGGCUGCUUUGCACUGCUCCUCUCCUUUUUUUUGGUCAGACAAUAAAUCGUGUUUCACUUUCUUCA
ensembl:lncRNA